rnacentral:tRNA from 1 species
GUAUGUAGCUCAGUGGUAGAGCACUUGCCUACUAUAUGUGAGGCCCUAAGUUCAAUCCCCAGCAUUACA